rnacentral:rRNA from 1 species
UACGAAGGGACCAAGCGUUGUUCGGAUUUACUGGGCGUAAAGGGCGCGUAGGCGGCUUGUCAAGUCACUUGUGAAAUCUCUGGGCUUAACUCAGAACGGCCAAGUGAUACUGCAAUGCUAGAGUGCAGAAGGGGCAAUCGGAAUUCUUGGUGUAGCGGUGAAAUGCGUAGAUAUCAAGAGGAACACCUGAGGUGAAGACGGGUUGCCGGGCUGACACUGACGCUGAGGCGCGAAAGCCAGGGGAGCAAACGGG